AUUGAACGCUGGCGGCAGGCCUAACACAUGCAAGUCGAGCGAGCGGCGGACGGGUGAGUAAUGUCAGGGAAACUGCCUGAUGGAGGGGGAUAACUACUGGAAACGGUAGCUAAUACCGCAUACCAUCAGAUGUGCCCAGAUGGGAGUAGCUAGUAGGUGGGGUAACGGCUCACCUAGGCGACGAUCCCUAGCUGGUCUGAGAGGAUGACCAGCCACACUGGAACUGAGACACGGUCCAGACUCCUACGGGAGGCAGCAGUGGGGAAUAUUGCACAAGGGGCGCAAGCCUGAGGCAGCCAUGCCGCGUGUGUGAAGAAGGCCUUCGGGUUGUAAAGCACUUUCAGCGGGGAGGCGGGAGGCGAAGAAGAAGCACCGGCUAACUCCGUGCCAGCAGCCGCGGUAAUUA
rnacentral:rRNA from 1 species